GAUGAACGCUGGCGGCGUGCCUAAUACAUGCAAGUCGAGCGAACGGACGAGAAGCUUGCUUUUCUGAUGUUAGCGGCGGACGGGUGAGUAACACGUGGAUAACCUACCUAUAAGACUGGGAUAACUUCGGGAAACCGGAGCUAAUACCGGAUAAUAUUUUGAACCGCAUGGUUCAAAAGUGAAAGACGGUCUUGCUGUCACUUAUAGAUGGAUCCGCGCUGCAUUAGCUAGUUGGUAAGGUAACGGCUUACCAAGGCAACGAUGCAUAGCCGACCUGAGAGGGUGAUCGGCCACACUGGAACUGAGACACGGUCCAGACUCCUACGGGAGGCAGCAGUAGGGAAUCUUCCGCAAUGGGCGAAAGCCUGACGGAGCAACGCCGCGUGAGUGAUGAAGGUCUUCGGAUCGUAAAACUCUGUUAUUAGGGAAGAACAUAUGUGUAAGUAACUGUGCACAUCUUGACGGUACCUAAUCAGAAAGCCACGGCUAACUACGUGCCAGCAGCCGCGGUAAUACGUCGGUGGCAAGCGUUAUCCGGAAUUAUUGGGCGUAAAGCGCGCGUAGGCGGUUUUUUAAGUCUGAUGUGAAAGCCCACGGCUCAACCGUGGAGGGUCAUUGGAAACUGGAAAACUUGAGUGCAGAAGAGGAAAGUGGAAUUCCAUGUGUAGCGGUGAAAUGCGCAGAGAUAUGGAGGGACACCAGUGGCGAAGGCGACUUUCUGGUCUGUAACUGACGCUGAUGUGCGAAAGCGUGGGGAUCAAACAGGAUUAGAUACCCUGGUAGUCCACGCCGUAAACGAUGAGUGCUAAGUGUUAGGGGGUUUCCGCCCCUUAGUGCUGCAGCUAACGCAUUAAGCACUCCGCCUGGGGAGUACGACCGCAAGGUUGAAACUCAAAGGAAUUGACGGGGACCCGCACAAGCGGUGGAGCAUGUGGUUUAAUUCGAAGCAACGCGAAGAACCUUACCAAAUCUUGACAUCCUUUGACAACUCUAGAGAUAGAGCCUUCCCCUUCGGGGGACAAAGUGACAGGUGGUGCAUGGUUGUCGUCAGCUCGUGUCGUGAGAUGUUGGGUUAAGUCCCGCAACGAGCGCAACCCUUAAGCUUAGUUGCCAUCAUUAAGUUGGGCACUCUAAGUUGACUGCCGGUGACAAACCGGAGGAAGGUGGGGAUGACGUCAAAUCAUCAUGCCCCUUAUGAUUUGGGCUACACGCGUGCUACAAUGGACAAUACAAAGGGCAGCGAAACCGCGAGGUCAAGCAAAUCCCAUAAAGUUGUUCUCAGUUCGGAUUGUAGUCUGCAACUCGACUACAUGAAGCUGGAAUCGCUAGUAAUCGUAGAUCAGCAUGCUACGGUGAACACGUUCCCGGGUCU
rnacentral:rRNA from 1 species